AGUUUGAUCCUGGCUCAGAACGAACGCUGGCGGCAGGCUUAACACAUGCAAGUCGAGCGCCCCGCAAGGGGAGCGGCAGACGGGUGAGUAACGCGUGGGAAUCUACCCUUUUCUACGGAAUAACGCAGGGAAACUUGUGCUAAUACCGUAUGUGUCCUUCGGGAGAAAGAUUUAUCGGGAAAGGAUGAGCCCGCGUUGGAUUAGCUAGUUGGUGGGGUAAAGGCCUACCAAGGCGACGAUCCAUAGCUGGUCUGAGAGGAUGAUCAGCCACAUUGGGACUGAGACACGGCCCAAACUCCUACGGGAGGCAGCAGUGGGGAAUAUUGGACAAUGGGCGCAAGCCUGAUCCAGCCAUGCCGCGUGAGUGAUGAAGGCCCUAGGGUUGUAAAGCUCUUUCACCGGAGAAGAUAAUGACGGUAUCCGGAGAAGAAGCCCCGGCUAACUUCGUGCCAGCAGCCGCGGUAAUACGAAGGGGGCUAGCGUUGUUCGGAAUUACUGGGCGUAAAGCGCACGUAGGCGGAUCGAUCAGUCAGGGGUGAAAUCCCAGGGCUCAACCCUGGAACUGCCUUUGAUACUGUCGAUCUGGAGUAUGGAAGAGGUGAGUGGAAUUCCGAGUGUAGAGGUGAAAUUCGUAGAUAUUCGGAGGAACACCAGUGGCGAAGGCGGCUCACUGGUCCAUUACUGACGCUGAGGUGCGAAAGCGUGGGGAGCAAACAGGAU
rnacentral:rRNA from 1 species